GCAUGCCGCGUGCAGGAUGAAGGCCUUCGGGUUGUAAACUGCUUUUGUACGGAACGAAACGGCUCCUUCUAAUACAAGGGGCUAAUGACGGUACCGUAAGAAUAAGCACCGGCUAACUACGUGCCAGCAGCCGCGGUAAUACGUAGGGUGCGAGCGUUAAUCGGAAUUACUGGGCGUAAAGCGUGCGCAGGCGGUUAUAUAAGACAGAUGUGAAAUCCCCGGGCUCAACCUGGGACCUGCAUUUGUGACUGUAUAGCUAGAGUACGGUAGAGGGGGAUGGAAUUCCGCGUGUAGCAGUGAAAUGCGUAGAUAUGCGGAGGAACACCGAUGGCGAAGGCAAUCCCCUGGACCUGUACUGACGCUCAUGCACGAAAGCGUGGGGAGCAAACAGGAUUAGAUACCCUGGUAGUCCACGCCCUAAACGAUGUCAACUGGUUGUUGGGUCUUCACUGACUCAGUAACGAAGCUA
rnacentral:rRNA from 1 species